rnacentral:lncRNA from 1 species
CUUCAGAGGCUAAGAUCGUUCUUCUUUUUGAGUGUGGUACUCUACAUGCUCGGUAUAAUCUUUAAGUUUCUCUCCUGCUCAACAAUAUCAUCAUGUUAUUUUUCCUGCUGGGAAACCUUGUUGGUUGUACUUUCUGCUCUUGUAGAUGACUAGAAGUAGAAGGAAUGAUAAUCAGGUUUGGGACAACACCAUUCUAUUUCUUAAUCUUC